AAUCAACGCUGGCGGCGUGCCCCAGACAUGCAAGUCGAACGAUUAAAGCUCUCUUCGGAGAGUGUAUAGAGUGGCGCACGGGUGAGUAACACGUAAGUAAUCUACCCUCGAGUGGGGAAUAACAACCGGAAACGGUUGCUAAUACCGCAUAAUGCAGCGGCACCGCAAGGUGACAGUUGUUAAAGAUUUAUCGCUUGAGGAGGAGCUUGCGGCAGAUUAGCUAGUUGGUAGGGUAACGGCUUACCAAGGCUACGAUCUGUAACCGGUCUAAGAGGACGGUCGGUCACACUGACACUGAAUAACGGGUCAGACUCCUACGGGAGGCAGCAGUCGGGAAUUU
rnacentral:rRNA from 1 species